rnacentral:rRNA from 1 species
GGGGGGGGGGGGGGGGGGGGGGGGGGGGGGGGGGGGGGGGGGGGGGGGCGGGCGGGGGGGGGGGGCUCGGGGGGCGGAGGGGGGGGUGGCAGGGGGGUAACCUGCCGUUGACUUUGGGAUAACUUCAGGACACGGGGGCGAAUACCGGGUAGGAGCUCCUGCUGCAUGGUGGGGGUUGGAAAGUUUCGGCGGUUGGGGAUGGACUCGCGGCGUAUCAGCUUGUUGGUGGGGUAGUGGCGUACCAAGGCUUUGACGGGUAGCCGGCCUGAGAGGGUGACCGGCCACAUUGGGACUGAGAUACGGCCCAGACUCCUACGGGAGGCAGCAGUGGGGAAUAUUGCCCAAUGGGCGGAAGCCUGAUGCAGCAACGCCGCGUGCGGGAUGACGGCCUUCGGGUUGUAAACCGCUUUCGCCUGUGACGAAGCGUGAGUGACGGUAAUGGGUAAAGAAGCACCGGCUAACUACGUG